GAUGAACGCUAGCGGCAGGCUUAACACAUGCAAGUCGAGGGGCAGCACAGUGUAGCAAUACAUGGGUGGCGACCGGCGCACGGGUGCGUAACGCGUAUCCAACCUUCCCGUUACUCAGGGAUAGCCUUCCGAAAGGGAGAUUAAUACCUGAUGGUAUCAGAAUUUCGCAUGUUAUUCUGAUUAAAGAUUUAUCGGUAACGGAUGGGGAUGCGUGACAUUAGGUAGAUGGCGGGGUAACGGCCCACCAUGCCUACGAUGUCUAGGGGUUCUGAGAGGAAGGUCCCCCANACUGGAACUGAGACACGGUCCAGACUCCUACGGGAGGCAGCAGUGAGGAAUAUUGGUCAAUGGUCUGACGACUGAACCAGCCAUGCCGCGUGAAGGUGACGGCCCUAUGGGGUCUUAAAACUUCUUUUUGAAAGGGAGCAAUAAGCCUCACGUGUGGGGUGAUGAGAGUACCUUACGAAUAAGCAUCGGCUAAC
rnacentral:rRNA from 1 species